GUAAAAUCUUAAGGCUUUCUGCAGUGCUUAUAGAUAUGCUUUCUGUGUGACAGUCAUUUAGUCUACCCAGCCAUCCAUAUAGUGAAGAUAUUGCACAUUUUCCCUUUCUCUAUUCAGAUAAAUCAACUGCUGUUUUUAGUUUGAUUACUCUUCAGUUUAUGGAGUUCAUCUUAUGCAUCCCUUCUCCUAGGUUCUGCUCCAAGGAAGACUGCCUUUUGCUGGGCCUGUGGCUUGCAUGACUGCAAAUGAAUAGAGUAGAAUACUUCAGUCAUUUGAGAGUCAUGUUACUGGUCCUGAAACAAAACUGUUGUGACAAGUUGUUGAAUGGAAGACUUUCCAAGAAAUCAAUCCUUCAUACCAGAAAGACUUGCAGACAAGGUGCAGUGCCAUGCAGAAUCAGGCCUCAUUUCUUACCACCAGAGGAGUUGUACUUGAUAACCAAGACCUGCAGAAAUAAAUAUGUGAAAACAGCAAUAACUUCAGAUGAGCAUCUAAAACACUCAGACCCUGGAAGACAAGAGGAUGACAGCAGCAGGUGGCUUUACCUUUCCCUGGACACUUAGAGAUACAGGCACUGACCAGUCCCUGUUAGUGAGCUUCCUGGGGGAAUCAGGCUUUGCAAGAAGCUGAGUACAAGAUACCCUUACAUAAGUGUGAUGUGUAGAUUUUUUUUUAUUUUUUUUUGUUCUGCCUUAUUAAUGAUCUGGAGCAAUGGUAGCAGUAGAUUGCUCCUGCAGUGUUUAUUUAUUUAUUUAUUUAUUGACAGCAAGGAACAGCCUAAUAUUGCUUCUGUUGCAGUCCCUGCAAGAAAUGUAGGUCAGUACAGAAAAUAGUACGGCAUUGUUUCCUUAUCCUUGGAAUUGGCAGACAGGUGAGAGAAAUAGGGAUGCUCACCUUUUAGUCAACCAGAGGCACCUUACAGGGAAAGAUGGUUGGUCUAUCUUAACACAAAAAAAAAAAAAAAAAAAAAAGUACAAUGAAAUGCCAUAAGCUGGUGACAUGGCUGUUCCAGUUUGAGUUUCAUCUUGUGAAUUGGUUAGCCUUACACAAAUGGAAUUGAAAUUUGAUCUGCUUGCUUUUUUUUUCUCUUGUAAAAUUCAGGCAUUCCGACCAGCAAGUCACUGGAUUUUUUUGCUAGAAAAUAUGCUUUUCAUAUGCUUAGUUUUCUGUGUAGUUUACACUGAAAUGAAUCUGAGAGUAUUUCUGUGUAUGACAGUAAUGAAUUGAUGUUAGUAGAAAUUCUGUCUUGCUAUGUGUAGCAUUUCUAAAAGAAUUUAUUUUACUCUUAAUAUCACUACAGGGAUUUUAAAACAGAUAAUUUGAAAAGCAAUUCCUU
rnacentral:lncRNA from 1 species